CUUUGUUUCAUUACUAGUCAUCAUAAUUUAAUUCUUUGUUGCUAGAUUUUUUAUGUGUUUCUCUUUCCCCUCUGUUUCUGGCAUUUUCUUCAGUUAGCAGUGUUUUCUUGAUUCACACUUUACCAGCUUGUCUCUUAUUAGUUUAUAAGCUGCAUACCAUAGAAGAGCUCAAACUUGUCUGAUCCCAUAAAUUCAUACUAUUAGCUUGCUGCCGGUUACCAAAUUCAACUUAUGGACGAUCAAAAAUUUCAGUUAUAUUCCUAGUGAUACCGAAUUCAUCUGCUGUCCUAUUCCAAGGAUAAGUGGUUUAUGAAGACCUAAAACUUUAGAUGAACAAUCUGACAUUGAAUAUAUUGGCAUUCAUUUAUAUUUAAGGUCAUGUGAAGACAUAACAAAACAGCAAGUCAGAGCUAAAUAUGUGAUAUCGGUGUUGGAUGCCGAGCGUGAUCCAAGGUAGUCGACAUGAAGGAAUAAUAUUUAAAGCUGGAACCGAAGGCGAUGGAUACAAGCUACUAGGUCCUAGUGGACUUAAUCCUAUUAAUAAAAUACUCGCAACAGUAUUUUCAUUGA